UAUCUUUAUGAUUUGUUGAAAAUAGUCAACGUUGCAUUAUAUAAGCUUUAAGCGGUAGAUUGUAAAUCUAC
rnacentral:tRNA from 1 species